CGAAGGGGCGUAGCGUUGCUCGGAAUUACUGGGCGUAAAGCGUUUGUAGGCGGCUUUUUAAGCCAGUGGUGAAAGCCUGGGGCUCAACCCCAGAACUGCCAUUGGGACUGGAAAGCUAGAGAAUGUUAGAGGUAAGUGGAAUUCCUAGUGUAGGAGUGAAAAUCCGUAGAGAUUAGGAGGAAUAUCGAUGGCGAAGGCAGCUUACUGGGACAUUUCUGACGCUGAGAAACGAAAGCGUGGGUAGCAAACAGGAUUAGAUACCCUGGUAGUCCACGCCCUAAACGAUGGAUGCUAGAUGUCGGAUUUUUAAAUUCGGUGUCGUAGCUAACGCGUUAAGCAUCCCGCCUGGGGAGUACGGUCGCAAGAUUA
rnacentral:rRNA from 1 species